ensembl:lncRNA
GAGAGUGAGAGAGAGUGAGAGAGAGAGAGAGAGAAGAAGUGAGAGAGUGAGAGAGAGAGAGAGAGUGAGAGAAAAGAAGCCACUUUGAGCCUUCGUGCAAUACUGGAGGAAUUCCUCUUUUUACCGACAGAACUUUUAACGUGUCGGGAUGUUAUUUGUUUUGUUUUGUUUUGAUAUCGACUCAGAUUGUGUAUUCUGUAUUCUCUUCUUCCUCCCGAGCCAGCAGAUCAGUUUAAGGAAACGCUCGUGACUUCAGCGCACAGACUCGCACCAAAUGUUACGCUUCCUCUGUGUUUUUAUUUUUAUUUUUAUUUUUUUUUGGAUUCCUUUAUGCUCACAAAGCAGCUGAUUCAUAUUAAACGAAAGCCAAAAGGAGUCGGUGUGAUCAUUUCAGCAUUUCCUGUGGAGUGUCGUGUAUGUACGCAGUCGAGAAACGGAUACUGAAAUCGUAUUUGCCGAAUCAUUUGACCGUUGUGAAUCAUUUAUCGAACGAAUCAUUCGAUAAAUGAUUCCUUUGCGUAACAAGACAGUGACGCGGUGUUUGAAGGGGCGGUUUGGCCGUCGAAGGUCCCGGUUUAGAAUGGUGAAAACUUUCUAAAUUGUUACUUCCAAUAAGGAUGAAGCAGAUGGG